rnacentral:rRNA from 1 species
AUUGAACGCUGGCGGCAGGCCUAACACAUGCAAGUCGAGCGAGCGGCGGACAGGGGAGUAAUGUCUGGGAAAAUGUCUGAUGGAGAGGGAUAACUACUGGAUACACUAGCUAAUACCGCAUACCAUCAGAUGUGCCCCGAUGGGAUUAUCUAGUGGGUGGGGUAACGGCUCACCUAGGCGACGAUCCCUAGCUGGUCUGAGAGGUUGACCAGCCACACUGGAACGGAGACACGGUCCAGACUCCUACGGGAGGCAGCAGUGGGGAAUAUUGCACAAUGGGCGAAAGCCUGAUGCAGCCAUGCCGCGUGUGUGAAGAAGGCCUUCGGGUUGUAAAGCACUUUCAGCGGGGAGGCGUUACCCGCAGAAGAAGCACCGGCUAACUCCGUGCCAGCCGCCGCGGUAAUAC